rnacentral:lncRNA from 1 species
UCUCGCCUGCCGCCAUGUAAACGUUCUUUGCUCCUGCUUCGUCUUCUGCCGUGAUUGUGAGGCCUCCCCAGCCAUGUGGAACUACUCAUCACUCACUGCAGAUGUUACUUUAAGACAUUCUGGAGCAGCGUCAUGUGCAGGAACAAUAAGGAAGUGAGUGCUUUUGUAAUUCCUGAACAACUGUGUCUUACACUUACUAAGAAAAACCUGGUGGUAUGGACUUCCAGCUCAAUAAUUCACUGUAAAGUUCUCUUGCCUGCCACCAUGUAAGAUAUGCUUUUACUCUUCCGCCUUCCACCGUGACUGUGAGGCCUCCCCAGCCAUGUGAAACUGCCUUUGAGCUUAUACUGAAUUAUACCACCAGCUUUCCUAGGUCUUGAAGCUUACAGACAGCAGAUCUUGGGACUUCUCAGGCACCAUAAUCAAUCAUAGAUAAAUGAUCCAAUGAUUCGGAACUUGAAAAGUGGUAGCUUUAUGAAUUCUCCUUAAGAAGAAACCUGUGCCCUGAUCUUGCCUACUCACCCAAAGGCACUGUGAGAUAGCAUCAAAGGAACAGCUAGUAAGAGACACAGAGCCAGAAAUCAGGGAAGUAAAAUACACUUGACAUCUACGUUCGGAAAGAAAUUUUAGGAGGCAGAAGCAAAUGGAUCAGAAGCUGCUUAUAUUUUUGCAAGAUUACCAAAGAAACCAUUGGUGGAGAAAGUUCUGUGACCAACUUGUCUGAGUCUAGUAAGAUUGAACGCUCACACACAAGUUUCAUGAAGUGGGUUUGAUACUUACAGAUAAGCAGCAAGGACCAACAGAAGCUGAUGAUCUAUGGUGAACUUUUUCCCAAGGCUCCGGAAAGCUGCCUAAAGUAGAUGGAGUCUUCUCUGUGUGUGCCCCACUGGUCCUGCAGUUGAAGGAUCCGGUAAAGCAGCCUGCCCUUGGUUUUAUACUCCAGAGGAACGUGAUUCGCUGGACUAAAGCAUUGAAGUGCAUCCUGUUUCCGGGGGGCACUGGAACAGAGCCUGGUCUGUUCUAGCCAGUCCCUUUCUAUCUCAGGAUAACAUUCUACAGUUAUUCUUGAGAACUAUAAUCAAAUAAGCAGGGAGAACUGGGUAAGUCCAAGGCUUAUCUAUACAAGCCUUUAAAUAUUCAAGACCAAAAAAAAAAAAAAAAAAAAAAAAAAAAG